rnacentral:rRNA from 1 species
UACGAAGGGGCUAGCGUUGCUCGGAAUUACUGGGCGUAAAGGGAGCGUAGGCGGACAUUUAAGUCAGAGGUGAAAUCCCGGAGCUUAACUUCGGAACUGCCUUUGAUACUGGGUGUCUUGAGUGUGAGAGAGGUAUGUGGAACUCCGAGUGUAGAGGUGAAAUUCGUAGAUAUUCGGAAGAACACCAGUGGCGAAGGCGACAUACUGGCUCAUUACUGACGCUGAGGCUCGAAAGCGUGGGGAGCAAACAGG